CCAGAGAGCCUAGUGUCCCGUUUAUGUGAGUCUUAAGAGGGUUUGUAGUGCUGCUGACACUCAGCUACAGAUUUUCUAUGCAGCUUUGGACCAGGUUUAUCAUGGAAUACCACAAUACAGAUCAAGCACUGACAUCCUAGAAAUACAGGAGAAAUUUUAUGGGUUACCAUAUGUUAAUGACACAGCUUGGCAGCUGAGAUUUAGUCACCUGGUUGGCUAUGGUGCUAAAUAUUACUCCUACCUCAUGUCCAGGGCGGUUGCCUCGAUGGUGUGGAGGCAGUGCUUUCUACAGGACCCCUUCAGCAGGUCAGUGUGGAGUUUUCAACUCCAACUCCUGACCAUAGCGAUGGGAGAGCGUUACCGCAGA